AAUUUGAAAAUGAUUGUGGCCGUGAUGGUCCGAGAAUGUAAAGCCUUAGAGUGAUAAUCCUGUUCCACUCAAUGUAAGCCAAUAACAGCAAUGAUUUGCAUUUGUGUGGACCGUUUUAGAUAUUCAUCAAACUAAAAUGUUUCAAACAUUGGUGAAAAAAGUUUAUUUUACAUUGAAUAUCUUAAAGAAGGUUAGAGAGGUUUAAGGAGGCAAUUCCGGAUCUUGUUGGCUCACCAGCUGAAAAUGGUGAAUGCUGUGUUGCGUGGGGUUUCGGAAAACGUUUGUAGCAAGUGAAGAUUACCUACAUUGUGGAAAUAGGCCCUUCGGCCCUGCAAGUCUACACAGCCCCUUGAAGCAUCCCACUCAGACCCAUCCCCCUGUAACCCACACACCCCUGAACACUACAGGCAAUUUAGCAUAGCCAAUCCACCUACCUGCGCAGCUUAGGACUGAGGGAGGAAACCAGAGCACACCCACACAGACACAGGGAGAAUGUGCAAACUCCACACAGACAUUUGCCGGAGGCUGGAAUCGAACCUGUGUCCCUGGUGCUGUAAGGCUGCAGUUCUAGCCACUGAGCCACCAUGCUGCCCUAGAUCUUAAGACUGGAAGAGUUUAGAGGAACUGUAACAGACAGUACCACAGCUGUACAAGAGGUGUCUGCUGUUGGAAACAAUGUAAUGAAUACUGUUCGGAGGACAGAGCCUGAUUAAAGUCGUAGCAGCUGAAGGUGUGUGGGCUGAAGACACUACGCCGCAGAAUUCUUGCAGUGAUAUCCAGGCGCUGAGACGAUUGCACUCCAAUGCUGUCAGGCUUGCUGACUAUUCCAGCAACUUUUGUUUUUGCUCCUGAUACACACCAUCCAAAAUUCUUCAGGUUUUUAAAAAUUAUUUUGCAUUAUGUCUGUUCUCCAUCUGUCUUCUACCCUCCACACCGUUUCCAUUGAUGUUUACUGAGGAUUUCCUAUUAGUACCAAGGACUGUGAUUGAAUCGGGGAGGUGGUUACAUUGCAACUACAUCUGAAUCUUCUCCCAACUGAGAAAGAGCUCGAAAAUUAAUCACAGUUUCUGAGUAGGCUAUAAAUUGCACAUGAAUUGAAUGAUUUCGGCCAUCUGUUGGGAUGAGAGAACUGAAAAACACAGCCAAUGGUUUAAAUCUAAAAGACAAAUAGUGAACUUGAGUGACAAUCAGCAAAUCAGGACAUAGUCUGAUGCACCCCGCCACUAAGCCCCCAACGAAAUCGCCAGAGGAAUGGGAAGGAAAUUGCUUCAUUAAACUGGGAGACACGGACAACUGCAGGAGGUUGGAAUCACUGGGAAGGGAGCAAUGGGAAAAAAAAGAUACAUCAUUGGGUCAGAGAAAGAUGACCUACAGUGAGGUACUGAGUUACUCACCUUGAACUAUCCCACUCCUGUGCCUGGAUGGGUUAACGACCAGGAAGCUGUGAGAUGGAAGUUUGCACUGAAAUGGGCGUGAAUUCGGGUGUGAGUGACAGGCAUGUCGGGAUAUCAACCAUGGGGUUUCGAAUUGAGUGGCGAACAUGUGGAAUUCUUUGCAAAGGAAGUGGCUGAGUCAAAUACAUUCACUGUUUUCCAGGAGGAGUUCGAUAUAGUUCUGAGGGCCAAAGAGAUAAAAUGAUGUGGGGUCCCUGAGCUGGAUGAUCAGCCGUGAUUAAUUUGAAGAUCAGAACAGGCAAGAAAGGAUGAGUGGACGAUUCUUACUCCAAUUUUUGAAGUUUCCACCAUUACCAGAGAAAUGGAAAGGAUUGACGAGGAUAAAGUGAGAGCCAGGAAUAACAGCACAAUGUAUAAAUCACUGCGAAUGGAGAAAUGGGAUAAAGACCUGGGAUGGAUUCAGAGAAUGAGUACAGAACAGAAAGGUGCUGUUGUGCACCAUAUCUGCCACAGUAAUGAGGCACACCAAGGUCCAUCAACUAUCUACAAUCUGCGUUUACAAGGCUAUGGGAUGGUUAUGGAGGAACAAGUUGAGAUGCAAAACAGGGCCGGAGAUCAUCCAUCACCGCCCUCACCCUCAACCCUUACAGAUUACAGAGGUUCAUCUUGGCCUGUCCCACUAUUUGGCGGGACUGGGUCCAGCUUCACGAAGCUGCCAGCUGAUAGUCAGCUGUGUCAACUUGGCCGGGUUGGAAUGUUUCAAGGAGCAGAUCAUGGGCGAUAUCGGAGCAGGCACCUUCUCUGCUCCUCUUCAUCCUCCUGUUGUGGCUCUUUUACUGGAGCUCUGUUGGUGACCGUUUCUAAACUCUUAUCUCCACAUCCUCGUAUUGUACGUGUAGGUGGCUAUGGUGAGCCCUCGAAUUUUUAAAAGGUCAAUGUCUUAUCAGUGUUACUUAUGCAUUUGUUGGAACAUUUUUUAAAAUUCAUAGAGAACCGCUAAAUCCAUUUUGCCCCUCCAGUUGUUUUUACAUAAAACUCCAUUCUUGGAUGUGAACAAAUUUAAGUAGUGUCAAACAGGAAAUAUUGCCAAACCGCAGCAGUCUGUUGAGCAAGUAGGAGUGGACCAUGUGAACCACGAGAAUCCCUAUGCUUUCUUUCUGAGAAUUCUCACGCUGAGAUGAGGAAUGAACGCAGAUAGUUGUAGAAGUCAAGAAACACAAUUGACAUUUGUGUUGCAUUAUCACUAUAAUGAAAUGUUCACUAGAAUUUCAGAGAUAUUAUAUUACAAGAUUUAUCACAAAGAGACAUAAUACUGAUGAUCAAGAGUGUUGCAAAAUGUAUCAGCUUGAAGGGCAAUUUUGAAAAGGAGAGAGUCAGAGAUGUUUGAAGCGGGAACUACAGAACUUGAGGCCAAUUAUUGAGGUUAUUAAUCGAUGGAAAAGGACAAUUUCAGAUGCUGCCAGGAUUGCUGAGUACUUACCGCACUUUCUUUCUGCAUCUGUUCUUAGUUCUGAGGACUCAAGGGAUCAAAUUGUUUGAGGAUAAAGGUCCUUCACUCGCAAAUCUCCAACCUCAGUAGUUCACUGCAAACAGUGACUGAUUUUAACGGUAGUCAACUAUUUUAUGUGGUAAUUUUUCUCCCAAGUCUUGACUUCACAAUUGUCCAGAUUAAUUUCUCUCAAUUUAACAACCUGCGUAUCUUCUCUUUUCUCCUUUCUUUUCCUGUUUUGAAAGAUUGAUUUGCAACUUGAGGUGCAGAUGAAACCAUAUCCAGAUCUGACAGCCACUCUCUUCAUCAUAACCAAAUUGUCAAAACGUUUUGAACAUUGAAGAAAAAAUACCACUCAUACUGGAGAGGAACACACUUUCUCUCUGUGUGGAAGUGUCUGUGAAGAUUCAUCUAAAAGGUCAAAACACCAGAGCAGUCAUAUUAGAGACAGUGUGGAAAUGUGGGGAUUGUGGGAAGUCUUUUUUUAAAAGAAUCAUCACAGCUGAAAGCUCACCAACUCAGUCUGUUAAAAAAUUGUAAUCGUGAGUAAUCGUGAAUUGGAAGGCAGGAAGCGAGAAUUUGUUUGUAAAAUAACAUUCAGGGACAAGAUUGUAUGGUACCUUGAAGGGAUAGUGCUUUUCUAAGCCUAGGGAUUUAUACUGAGAGAGAAAAAAAAGUGUCUGCAUAUAGCUGAAGGUGUACAGCCCGUUCUAAAAUUGAAACACGUAUCAAUUGGCUGUGUGAACGGAAACCUUGUUUUGGUGUUUUGGCAAUGAGCUGGAAUCAGCCAAUUUGUCUCAUCCAAGCAUUAGCAAUUCAAAGACAAUUGAAUUUAAACCUGGUGGUUUUGAUAGUUUAGCAUGAAUGCUAUUGUAAUAAAAUUGACAUGUCAUCCCAGUAGAUAACGAGAGAUUUUGAAAAUCAGUGUGAGAAUGAAUGGUCAUCUGAGAAGUAAUCAUCUAUCUCUCACAAGCAAUCACUGAGGUCUCUAAGAAAGCACCUGUAUCCAUAAAAGUCACCAUGGUAUUUCUAGUUAAGAGCCCUCACAAAGUACUUCACAGAGAAAACAUCCCUGACACCCGGAUCCGUGGAAUAAAGGCAUUUAUGACGUGAGAGCAGCAGAAAUAAAGCGCGUAGACUUUGAGAGACUAAGAUUUUAUUUUCUUGUCUUACUACUUGGAUUAUAUAAGUGGGACUUAUGUUUAUUGGAAUAGCGUACCAGUAGAACUUAGUCCAUUUAGGGAAUAGUUAGUAGUUAUUGG